rnacentral:rRNA from 1 species
GUGGGGAAUCUUGCGCAAUGGGCGAAAGCCUGACGCAGCCAUGCCGCGUGAAUGAUGAAGGUCUUAGGAUUGUAAAAUUCUUUCACCGGGGACGAUAAUGACGGUACCCGGAGAAGAAGCCCCGGCUAACUUCGUGCCAGCAGCCGCGGUAAUACGAAGGGGGCUAGCGUUGCUCGGAAUUACUGGGCGUAAAGGGCGCGUAGGCGGACAGGUAAGUUGGGGGUGAAAGCCCGGGGCUCAACCGCGGAACUGCAUUCAAUACUGGCUGUCUUGAGUAUGAGAGAGGUGUGUGGAACUCCGAGUGUAGAGGUGAAAUUCGUAGAUAUUCGGAAGAACACCAGUGGCGAAGGCGACACACUGGCUCAUUACUGACGCUGAGGCGCGAAAGCGUGGGGAGCAAACAGGAUUAGAAACCCCGGUAGUCC